GAAGAAAGUCCGGAGCCGGACCUUGCGUUCGAGCAGGGAGCGAGACAAGCCUACCAUGGAUCUCAUUUUCAUAUGGUGGCGCAUCUUUUCCUACUUUCAUCUUGGCUGGGAAGCUGUGGUGCAAUCCCUCAAUGAUCCAUCCAUUGAUUUAUCAGUGUGCCUGAUUCAAAGCAGUGAAGGUCUUGCAUGGACCUCAGUUGAGCAUGUGUUAAUAACAAAAUCAUUUACGGAUGCAUGGAACAUGCAAACUACCUUUUAGGGUUUUAAACUAAAACAUUUUCACCUUAUGGCUGGUUGAUUUGUUUUGUGAUUCAAUGCUUUAGAGAGACCUCUUAUGGACAUGGGAAGUGGUGCAUCUGCAUUGAGCAACUUUGA